ensembl:snRNA U6 U6 spliceosomal RNA
GUGCUCAGUUCAGCAGCACAUAUACAAAAAUUGGGGUGAUACAGAGAAGAUUAGCAUGGUCCUGGUGCAAGAUGACACACAGAUUUGGGAAAUGUUCCAUAUUAUA